rnacentral:lncRNA from 1 species
ACAGAUCCCCUGAAUGUGUCACAGCAGGACUGAUGUACAUGCUAAAAGGUAUCCCUUGUAUCAAGGAUACAACUCACAGGUCAGAAUGACACAUAAAAACAUCUUUGUGCUUUUCACUGGAUGAUGUUAUUCUUCAGAAAGAGGACAAAAUAUAAGACAAACACAAUGAGGAUCUUGGACAUUGUUCAUAAAUUAGUUCAUGAAAUAGUGAAGAUUCCUGAAUACAAAGCAAGGGCUCCAGAUCUUUUCCAGGUAUA